AGGAGGAUGGACCAAAUGAUCGCAAGAUUGAAAAACUACGUGAAUAUGUUUCGAAAAAUCCUUUACGCAUCCCAAAGGACACUAUUUGCUACUAGUUUACAGAGCAUUAUACAGACUUUGCUGGAUCAAACAAGGCAGUAUGAAAAGCAAAUUCUAGGAUUUCAGGCUCAUUUUGACUUUGUAAUUAAUCAGCAGAAGGAUAGUACUUUCAUGUCAAACUUAGAAGGCUUUAUUCCAAAAGUUUGUCAGUUAGCUCAAGAAAUUGGGGAAGGUGAAAGGGAGACGAAUCUAUGUUCAGCUGGGCUGCAAGCACUUUCUUCAUCGAUUUGGUUAAUGGGUGAACAUUCUCACAUUUCGGCAGAGUUUGAUAAUGGCCACUGCCACCGUCACGUCAUAGAUCUCUUUUCACCUUGGCAACUUCAAUGAUCCUAUUCUCAUCAAAAGCAUUUAAUGUUCGCCCUAUCAUUGAUUCUGCCAAGGUUGCACUUACAGAAAUAAUGGAUGAUCCAUUUUUGCGCUUGGUGGACGAUUGUAAGUUACAGGCAGUUAACACUGAGCCUGACCAUCCAACAAAUGUUUAUAGAUCUAAAGAAGAUGAUGCUGUGGCUUUAAAGACUCUCGGAAAUUCAGAUAGCUCCAGAACAAAGUAGGGAAACUCUUGCUUCUAAAAUUGUGAAAACUUUGGGAAACUUGUCGGAGCUUGAAUUGUCCACCAUAGGGGAACAGCUGCUGAAUGAAUUCUUGCCCGACAAUGUGUGUUGCCCAGUUUUCUAUGGAUACUCCUCAUAAAGUAUAUCAAGCUGGGGCUGAAGACAAUAAAUCUAUUGAGGCCAAACCAAGGAUAGUUCGGAGUUUGCUGUGGAAAUUCCAGGACUUGCGGAUGUCAAUCAACUCCUAGAAUCAGUAGUGGAGACGGCAUAUCAGUUUGGAAGAAGUCCCAUCUCCACCUGACCGGACUUGUCUUACAAGGAAAUAGCCCGUCAUUGCGAGGCACUCGUAACAGGAAAGCAACAAAAUAUGUCUCCUUUGAUGAGCUCGACUCAGACAAGAAAGCUUGAUUAGCUUAUCUUUUCAACAUCCAGAUAACAUGACAAAACAGGUGAGUCCGGUCCUUGAGCAAAUUGACAGUACCAAUCCUUUCAAACAACCGCUCGGCACUCUUCCAAUGCCGUGUGCAACUGAGUACCAUAACCAUCCCCCCUCAUUCAGUUUACCAGCCUCAACUCCAUAUGAUAACUUUCUAAAAGCUGCUGGAUGUUGAUCCUAUAGAAGUAUAGAGUGAAAUUUUCGAGCAAAAUAUUCCGGCGAUUGUUCCAAGAGGAAGACAGAAAAUUUUAGGACCUGUGUUUCUAAAGCUCAAAGAUUUCCCUGUUCCAACAAAUUAGUAUUUUUGGUUCUUGGUAUAUUUAGGGCAGAACUUGUGAUUUAGAUUGGUUGAGUUUGUGACUAUUUAGCAUUUAAUUCAUUUCUUUUUCCCCCAUUUUAUUCCUUCAUAUGUGUAGUUUGCAAGAGAUGCCAAUAGUUAUGCACUCUUCAUAUUGCAAGCAAUUUGCUUUGUUCUUAUUCUUUAGCAUUGGGAUGGACAUGAAUGUAGAAUAGAGACACGGUUUUGCAAUGUGUGAACACAAUGCUACUUUAUAGAA